CCGUCACAACGGCUUCCUGAAGUGACGGCGUCAAUCCAUUGGAGCG
rnacentral:ncRNA from 1 species